AGAGUUUGAUCAUGGCUCAGAACGAACGCUGGCGGCAUGCCUAACACAUGCAAGUCGAACGAAGUCUUCGGACUUAGUGGCGCACGGGUGCGUAACGCGUGGGAAUCUGCCCUUGGGUACGGAAUAACUCAGAGAAAUUUGUGCUAAUACCGUAUAAUGACUUCGGUCCAAAGAUUUAUCGCCCAAGGAUGAGCCCGCGUAAGAUUAGCUAGUUGGUGGGGUAAAAGCCUACCAAGGCGACGAUCUUUAGCUGGUCUGAGAGGAUGAUCAGCCACACUGGGACUGAGACACGGCCCAGACUCCUACGGGAGGCAGCAGUGGGGAAUAUUGGACAAUGGGCGAAAGCCUGAUCCAGCAAUGCCGCGUGAGUGAUGAAGGCCCUAGGGUUGUAAAGCUCUUUUACCCGGGAUGAUAAUGACAGUACCGGGAGAAUAAGCUCCGGCUAACUCCGUGCCAGCAGCCGCGGUAAUAC
rnacentral:rRNA from 1 species